rnacentral:rRNA from 1 species
UACGUAGGGUGCAAGCGUUUGUUCGGAUUCAUUGGGCGUAAAGGGUGCGUAGGUGGCGCUGUAAGUCGGGUGUGAAAUUUCGGAGCUUAAACUCCGAAACUGCAUUCGAUACUGCGGUGCUUGAGGACUGGAGAGGAGACUGGAAUUCGAUGGUGUAGCAGUGAAAUGCGUAGAGAUCAUGAGGAAGACCAGUGGCGAAGGCGGGUCUCUGGACAGUUCCUGACACUGAGGCACGAAGGCCAGGGGAGCAAACGGGG